rnacentral:lncRNA from 1 species
AUGAGUGAUACGUAGGCACAAUGGCCACAAUCCUUGGCGAGCACCAUAAUAAAGAAAACUAAAAUCCCUCUCUUUCACACAUUGUUUUUGAAAAUAAAACAAUAAUGAGAUAAAUCCUUGCAUACGUAAACAACCUAAAUAGUUCCCAUGGAGUACCAUGGACGUGAGGGGUGUUAAUACCUUCCCCUUGCAUAGUCGAUUUCUGAACCCAAAUAUCGGUUGCAAGACCGAUU